AAUUUUCUAGGUUUUCGGAUACCAGAUCGAUCGGCCCCUCCCCCUCCAUGGCGGAGGUCGUCGACGCGCCCGCCGAAACGCUAGAUCGAGGGCGGGAUCGCCAGCCGGAACCACGCGAGAGCCCUGGCGACGGGUCCUCCUCCCCGCCGCCACCGCCUCCGAGGAGGAGGGACAGGGAUUCGAGGGAGCGGAGGGACGAUUGGCCCCCGAGCCGGCGGGAUGAUCCCCACGAUCCGAGGAACCGCUCACCGCCGCUUCCCCCGCCUCCGCCUCUGGGGCCGCCGAGGGACGACAAGGAUCGGGAGUACCGUAGGCGGAGCAGCCCGAGCCCACCGACGUACCGUGACCGCCGACAUUCGCCUCCCCGCCGGUCCCCUCCGCCUGGGCCAUUUAAGCGAGCUAGGAGGGAUGACGGUGGAUAUGACCGGCGUCGAGGUAGCCCGAGAGGUGGUUAUGGACCGGAUGACAGAAGAUAUGGCUAUGAUUAUGGUGGUGGAUACAAUCGUAGAGGUUGGUACAGAGACGAGAGGUCUCAUGGUCGCUAUACAAAUCGCCCAUCUGAUUGGCCUGAUAUAGGAUAUGGUGAUUAUGGUGAUGGCCCUGAGGUUAUUCAAAGGGGAGGUUUGAUGUCAUAUAAGCAGUUCAUUCAAGAACUUGAAGAUGAUAUUUUUCCUGCUGAAGCUGAACGCAGAUAUGAGGAGUACAGGUCAGAGUACAUCUCCACGCAGAAGCGAGCUUAUUUUGAAGCUCAUAAAGAAGAGCAAUGGCUGAAAGACAAGUAUCAUCCAACUAACUUGGUAGCAGUCAUUGAAAGGAGGAAAGAACAGGCCAGAUCUGUUGCAAAGGAGUUCUUGCUUGAUUUGCAGAGCGGGACACUUGACCUUGGUCCUGGAGUAACAGUUUCAUCAACAAGCAAAUCUGGGAAUGGUAGUGAACCAAACUCUGAAGAUGAGGCAGACACUAAUGGAAAACGAAGAAGGCACAAUAAGGGGCCAGCAAAAGAAAAUGAUCUGCACUCUGCUGCCCUUAAGGCACACCCAGUCAGUUCUGAGCCUCGGAGAAUUCAAGCUGACAUUGAACAAGCUCAGGCCUUGGUCCGUAAACUUGACAUGGAGAAGGGUCUACAGGAUAAUGUCCUCUCUAGUAGUGGUCAUGAUAAGUUGGAUGCAGAGAAAUCUCGUGGGGGAUCCAUGGGGCGAAUUAUCAUUAUACGUGGCCUGACUACUGUCAAGGGCCUUGAAGGUGUCGAAUUGUUAGAUACUUUGAUCACAUUUCUGUGGCGCAUCCAUGGAUUGGAUUACUAUGGCAUGUCUGAGACAUCUGAAUUAAAGGGUCUUCGACAUGUUAGGGCUGACAAUAAGACUCAUGAUGGAACUAAUGCUAGUGGAUCUGACUGGGAGAAGAAACUUGAUUCAUUUUGGCUGGCAAGAUUGCAAGGUCAGGAUCCCUUGGAAACAUUGACAGCCAAAGAUAAGAUUGAUGCAGCAGCUACCGAGGCCCUAGAUCCUUUUGUAAGGAAAAUACGAGAUGAAAAAUAUGGCUGGAAGUAUGGAUGUGGAGCUAAGGGCUGCACGAAACUUUUCCAUGCUCCCGAAUAUGUUCAUAAGCAUCUUAGACUGAAACACCCAGACCUUGUGAUCGAGCUCACCUCGAAAGUUCGAGAGGAUCUGUAUUUUCAAAAUUAUAUGAAUGAUCCCAAUGCACCAGGCGGGACACCUGUCAUGCAGCAGUCUGCAUUGGUGAAAAUGCAAAGACGGAGGCCACUGUUAGAUAACCGCCUUAGAGAUGAACGUGGCAAUCGCAGAGAUCUUGACAGGAAUGAUAGAGAUGAUGACAGGCAUGAUAGGUCUGACAACUCCCCUCGCGAUGGCAAUGGUAGCUUGGAGGGGGAGAAUCAUGAGAAACUUCUAUAUGAUGCUUAUGGUGGACAAGGCUUGCAUGGGGCAUUUCCUUCGGAUAUUCCUCCUCCAUUGUUGUUGCCUGUUCCUGGUGCUGGGCCACUAGGACCUUUUAUCCCUGCCCCACCGGAGAUUGCCAUGCACAUGUUGAGGGAGACUGGUGGGUCAUCAUCAUUUGAGUCUAAUGGUGGAUCUCGUGGUAGGAAGGGAAGGCUUGGUCCACAAGUGAGUGGUCCAGCUCCAAUUCUUCCUAUACCUUCAGCAUUUCGGCAUGAUCCCCGUCGAAUAAGAAGAUAUCUAUCUGAUGGAGAAGAUAUUUCAUUUCCGACUUGAACUCAAGACUUAUCCCGAGACUUGACUCGUGAUCUGGAUCCUAAUUGGGAGUGGGAAGUGGCAUCUCUCCUGAUGACAAAUCCCCAUUUGUGAGUUAAGUCACGAGCUAAGUCUUAAGUUUAAGUCGGGAUGACAAGCAGCAGUGCCAUCCAUGGGCAAGAGUUGGGACGUUUCACGAGGGUCGGCAACUCAUCCUGGACAUGACGAGCUUGUCCUCCGACACUGGUGGGCCAACGGUGGAGCUGUUCUACUUCGGCCGGCACAGGAUACGUCUCGACGCGCUGGUGUGCCACCCAGUCCAUGAGCCCGCUGUGCCGAAAAGAUGUUUACUUUAAGGUAAUAAAAAGAAGCUUUAAGCCCAGCCUGGCCUAUCUGAUCUUUUGAUAUAAGAUAUGGUUGGGGGGCAUGCCAACAAGUGGUUUUUCUAUACUAACACCUAUCUGAUCCAUUUGAGAUGGGUUAGGACAUCUGCUACCUACUUUUUUUUUCCUUUAUUUCCGACUAUCCACGUCUAUUCAACCCACUUGAAAGUUCCAAGUAGGGAAACAACAAUGUGAGUUAUAUUUCAGGUGAGUUUGAAUAUUUGCAUAAUUAAUUGGAUUCGACAAUCAAAUACAAGUUGGACUUUGGAUCAUAAAUAAACACAGCGACACUCUUAACAUGGCUCUCAGUAUCUAUCAUGUGCUUUUGUUGAUGGGUUUCAGCUGGUUUCAAAAAUUUAAGCUGGAGAACCAACUCCAUGGAUGCUUCUGACGGUAGAUGAGCUGAAGAAGGAGGGGCAGGAUCAAGAUGGGUCAACCUGAGGUAUCGUCCCAAUCACGCACACGGCCUUUGUUUUAGUGCAAACACAUGUCAAGGGGUGUGGGGCCAUGUCUGUUCCACUAAAAGUGACAUGUUAGGAAUCGCCACCCUCAAAGUGGGUACUAAAGUCAGGCAGCCUUACACCUGUAAAGCUUGUGGCGGACCCCCUCACUCAUUGAGGUCAAAUGUUCCCUGUGUUGGUUCAAUUGACUUGGAAUGGGCUUUUCAGUGAGACGAUGGUCUUGCAAUUGCAUUUGUAGGCCCCUCUUCUUUUUGUUGGCAUAUGCUCAUGCUUGUUCUUCUUCACCUUUGAAAUUUGAGUGUCAAGGCAACAUUUUAUAUCGUUA